rnacentral:rRNA from 1 species
UACGUAGGUGGCAAGCGUUGUCCGGAUUUACUGGGCGUAAAGGGCGUGCAGGCGGUCUGUUAAGUGCAGGGUGAAAGCUCCCGGCUCAACUGGGAGAGGUCCUUGCAUACUGGCGGACUUGAGGGGGGUAGAGGAAAGUGGAAUUCCCGGUGUAGUGGUGAUAUGCGUAGAUAUCGGGAGGAACACCUGUGGCGAAGGCGGCUUUCUGGGCCCUACCUGACGCUGAGACGCGAAGGCUAGGGGAGCAAACGGG